UACGUAGGGGGCUAGCGUUGUCCGGAUUUAUUGGGCGUAAAGAGCGUGUAGGCGGCCAGGUAGGUCUGCUGUGAAAACUCGAGGCUCAACCUCGAGACGUCGGCGGAAACCAUCUGGCUAGAGUCCGGAAGAGGAGAGUGGAAUUCCUGGUGUAGCGGUGAAAUGCGCAGAUAUCAGGAAGAACACCAGUGGCGAAGGCGGCUCACUGGCCCGGUACUGACGCUGAGGUGCGAAAGCGUGGGGAGCAAACAGG
rnacentral:rRNA from 1 species